AAAGGAAGAACACUGGCAGGAAAACAGUCAAGACAUCCAAUAUUUGGGCAUAUCUAUCUCCGCUAAGUGCAAGAAACUCAACUUGACCCAGAGAUGGUGCCUGGACCUGAGCAGAGGAGUUAGAAAAUUGCUGUUAAGAGGACAGCUUUCAACAGAAUGUUUUGGAGCUCUGAUGUGCCCCACAGAAAAAGGGAAAGAAAAGGAAAUCUGAAAGGGAAGUCUGGGGAAGAGAAGCUGCCCCCAGACUUGCUCCUUACCACCACCACCACCACCACCUCCCCAUCCCACAUCCCUCUUUCUCUCCAGGCAACCUACAGGGCCUCAGGAGAAGUGUGGCCAAUAAGGAGCACUCUCUAAGAAGCCUGACCUACAAUAGUGACUACUAAGGUAGUGUUAAGUUCGUGUCUACAUUGUAAUUCCUUGGGUGUCCUAAGCCUCAA